UGUUAAAAAUUUCAUCCAUUUUUACGGUUAAAAACCAGUCACUGAACGUUAGAAUAACAAUACAGUUACACGUGGGUGUGCCAUGUGCAACCCAUUCUGAUGUACAGGGAUCAGUUUUUAAUUAGUAGAAAUGGAUAAAAUUUUUGCUC
rnacentral:pre_miRNA from 1 species